rnacentral:snoRNA from 1 species
AACCCAUGGUGAGGGUACCUUCUCAGUAAGUUCUUGUAUCUCUCCCAUGCAUCGUAAAGUGUUUCUAAAUCUAUCUGCACAAAAGAAGAGAUAUCAUUACGCAAUUU